GCAGGUCAUUUGAGAGAAGAUUGUUUGACUCUUCCAUCUGCAAACUGUGGACAGUCUGUGGGGAAUAUGGGGAAUCUGUGAAUUUUGGAAAGCAGCUCCCUGAGCCUUUGACGUGGCCACUGAGAAUUAAUUAACAUGAAAAAGGAAGAGGUUUCAUAUCCUCCAGCUCUCUUGACUCUCACCCAGCAUUACUUACUGAGCCUGGAAUAGAUCUGUGUGAAAGAUGGAUGCAAGCUGGGCCUUAUCUCUGAGGCAGGAUUUCAAGCCACCCUAGUGCUUAAGGAGAGAGAGAGAUACAAGUCUGGAGAUGUGUCUUAUCUUUGUAGCAAGCAGGCUGGUGGAGCACAGUUGAGCAGCUUCCUGGUGUUGUCAGCAUCUGCUGCCUGAGCUGUACAGAAACUAGUGCUAAAGUCCUAUGUCUAAAAGAUCCUUGACAGCUCCAUCUUCUCCUUUCUUCAGCCAGUUUAUUUCUGCAGAUGCUUAGGAAUGCUGGAAAGACGGGGAGCAGUACCUAGCUAAUGAUGCUGGAGACCAAGGAAAUGCAGCUAUCCCAGCAGAGCAGGCAGGGGUUUCUCUGAAGAAGCAAGUCUGUUGUUUGUUUUCUGGGAGAAGGAUAUGAAGACUGCUUGCUGGUUUCUGUGUGGUGAUACUUCUGGCAGAUGUGAAGUGCGUGAACCUCUCCUGUUGGAAGGGCAGAUAUUACGUGAAAAAUGCAAGGUCCAGCACACAAAAAUUAGAAAAAAAAAAACCCACUGAUUGAAGGAGCAACUUCAAUUGUCACAGCUGCUUUCCCUGAAAGAUCAAGUUUCCUUUGGCGCUAGAGGAGCAAACUAAGCCUGCAGCACCCUGCCGGGAGGAUGGUUGUGUGAAAUGGACAUCUGGAUGGGGACACAGUCUGGAGUGACCCAGGCACCCGACUGCGGAGGUGGGAUGGAAGGUAUUCCCCAUCAAGAAAGUGGUACGGCUACCCUGUGCUGGGGACCACAGCAGAGCACACCUCCCUCAAGAAACCUAAUGGCUGGUGUUCCUGGCAGGAGCUUUUCUUUGAAUUUGGAUGCUGCUUCUUCCUUGUCCUGAGACUAACAGUGAGGUCCCUCCAACCCCACACCUGUGACAGGUUAAGCCCUGCAGCCACCUGUGGGAAGCACAGAAAUGUGUCACCAAGCAGCACAUCCAGGGAUGGCCUGGCUCAAUCAGCGGUCCCACCUGGAGCUCUUCCCAAACUCUGUUUGCAUUGCAGCAGGAGAAAGGAGAAGGCAUGAGAAUUCCCUGGAAUUAUUUGAAGAGAGGAUUGGUCCUACUCCACUGAUACCCUUGGUCUACAGAUGACCCCCAUGAGACCUUUACCAAACAACUGGCAAAGAAUUGUGGUGGAAGUUUCAGAGCACUCUGGCAGGCAAGGAAAAUGAUCAAUCAGGACAGCAGGUGAAACCCAUAGGUACCUAAAGGGUGAUGGUACUGUCUUGAAUCUGAGUUACCAAAUUGCCUCGUGUGUAAAAUUUCUUGUUUCAUGACAGAAACUGAGACAGCUUCCUUAUGAACCUGGCAGUCAUGAUCAAAAGUCAUGUCAAGAAAAGGAGAAGAAUUGAGAGGGGAUAUGGAGUAAUAUUCAAAACAGUCAUGUCAAAAAAAGGAUAAAAAUUGACAGGCAACACAGAGUAAUAUUUGAAAUGCUAUGUGAGUGGCUGGUUUAUUGGAAAUCUUUGCCUCUAAUGUAGCCUGCAAAGGUCACUGAUUACUAACUCUCGUUUAUUCCUCUAAAAUAAAAAUAGAUAUGCGAUAUUAUAGAAAAGUUAAAUGAAUUUCUGUAUCUUUGAAUUGCAUGGGUGGCUUACCCACUCAUAUUUGUACUAAAGUAUUUCAGGACUUGUUAAGAUUACUUUCCUUUCUGGGCUGGGGAAAAGAAAAUGAAUGCCUUAUUGCAUAGGCAGCUCUGGACUGCUGUGAGUGAAACAUCAGAAGUCAUCAAUAUCUGCAGAUAUUUUCUUGACAGUGGUAGAAAAUGACAUGGCUAAAGCCCCAGCAUGCUGGGAUAAACAUUUUUGCCAGCCCAUAUGGGAAGGGAGGUAGAUCAUGUUGUGUUCAGACAGAGGAACAGCCACCUGCAUGGAGCUGUAUGGAAGAUUUAUUUUUCCAUUCUGAUGUAGGAAUGCUGAAACAGCAUAUUUUACCAUGAUAAUAAAGCUCUUCUAGUUUUGAAAUGGGUGUUUGCUAUCUUCUGCAAAUAAGAUUGAACCAGAUGUUUUCAUUGGUCCCCAGGUCCAGUCAGAGAAAUGAAUUCUUCCUAAAACACUGAGGGAAUUGUUAUGAAAAAGUGGUGUAGAGACUGCACCAAUGUGAAAUGGGUGGAGAGAUACAAUGGCUAAAAGUGGAGGUAUAGGACUUGCCUUUAAAGGGUACCUUGCUGAAAUAUACUAGAUAAACUUGAGAAAUAAAGGCAUAUCUUGAAGUUCCUUGCACAAAUAGAUAUGUUCACUGUCUCUGAAUAUAGCAGAGGCGUAGCCUGGGUCAAGUAAGCAGAGUAAGACUUGUUCACUGGGACCCCAAGUUGGGUUUUAGGAAAAUAGGCUUCCAUUCCUCAUUUUAAGUUUCUUCCGUGUGUUUCAGAGGGUUCUGCCAGUUCAUGCGCAGAUAUAUAUGCAUAGCACUGUGGGCUAAACUAUUUGUACAUCUGAGAAUAUACAGGGACAUGUGGUCUCCUACUCUUGCAGAGAAACAGUGACAGGAUUCCUGAACUCAGUUACGCCACCACUCUGGUUCUGGGCUUGCGAUUUCAGCUGUAGAAAGGUGUUUUUCUGGGAACAACAAGCAAACAAGUCCGCUCCCCCCUCAGGUGCCAACUGCAGCUCCCUCCCAAGUCCUAGUGCAAGGGAGCGUUUCAUGUGAACAGUUGACUCUCUGGGAGCAUUUACAUGUAUAUGCACAUGCUCUCCCUGGGCUUUUACCACUUGAACAUAAAACACAAAUUAUUUUCAGAUGCCAGACCUCCAUAUGUGUGCAUCUGGUUUGCUGUGUACCUCACUAGGAAGGAUAUGGGUGCACAGAUAACAGCUUUUUUCAUAGUGUAGUUGUCCAGCUUCAAUUUAUUGUUCCUUUUCCCUUAUGUUGAAUUACUUGUUAAUGCCAACAUAACCUCUGUUUCACUCCCUCUCCAUCCUAAAUGUAAAUUGGCUUGCCACAACCUGCUAGUCUCUAGAAAUUACAAAGCCUCAGAAGAUAAUUUGUUGCUGGUACUGAUAGCAUCUGUUUAUUCUAAUGCACCAGGCAGUCAGGCCCUGCUCGCCUGCAGAGGAGGAGAAAAUGACCUUCAGUAAAAUCGCAAACUUAGCAAUUCUGAAACAGCAUCUCCCUCAACAGCUAGAUGCUGGUGAUCUGAAGUCUGUGUUUUCGUGAAGGCGGCAGUCAAACCAGUGCGGAGCGAUUCUGUUCUUAGUGAGGCAGAAGGUAACUUGCAGGUUUUUAGAGAGUAAAGAAACAUAGGAACACUCACAGUAGGUUUGUGGCCUGAAAAAGCGGUAUAUUAUAGACGUUUUCAGGAUGCUUGGAUUCCUUGCUUUCAUAAGCGUGAAAACUGCCUCUGCUCCUUUGCCCACAAAUGUCCGAUCAGAGUUUAAUUCUCGUACCCUGCAGAAGGUCUGAUCAGACUAUUAUCACUCAGAAAAUCAUAUAAAUGAAAAAAAUAAUAGAAUUUAAACUGAAUAAUUCAUAGGAGUUCAAUUGAUUGACUCCUUGUGAUAGAACUGGCAAUAAUGGAACAAAAAGAGGCUUCUUAGUACCUUGUGAGUACAUGGAGGAUUAAUGUUUUCUCUGGAUAAUGGAAUAAUUUUUACUGUGUUGGUACUUGGGAGUAUAUCAACAAUCAGGUUCUAAAGUUACUUAUGCAAAUCAUUGUUUUUUUCUAACUCCAUAUUCUAGAGUUACAAAGCUGAAGAGAUCCCUGUGUCUUUUAUUUUGAUUUCUAAUAAGCCCUACAACACUGGGGAAGUUCUAGAGACAAAAGAAAUCUAAUUUUAGAUCAAUAUGUUAAAUAGAUUGCUAUGUUCAUUAAUAAUUAACAUUAAUAUUAAUUAAGUCAAGGGGAAUUCAAGGAGAAUUGUACAACGAAUCACAUACUAAAGAAAUGUAACACAUUAAGAGGCAUCUAGUAUCGAUUUUUGGAAAAUAAUUUGGGUCAGCUUCAGUUAGACAUUUUAAAAAAAGUGAUUAUUAUGCUAAUGUUGAUGUAAGAAUUUCUUAUAAAACCUUAACUUGCUCCCAUACAUAUUCUUUCAUAAACUGAAAUGAUACGGUAAGAAAUAGGAAAUGUUAUGUGGAUUCCAACAGUUUCAGUUACAGACCUCUAAGUGGGAUUUGUAAACAGGUUUGAGAUGUGAACACAUGAAAUAGCAAUGUUCCUAGUGGGAUCCAGUCAUUGCUUUGAGUUUCUUGAUGUGGCAGUGACUAGAAGGAGACAUUAACUUCACACUACUGACAUUAGCAGAUGACAGAAAGACUGGCUUAGAAUAGUUUGGAUCACUUGAUAUAAUGGAAAUAGCAAAUAAUUUUUCUUUUCAGGAUGCUACAGGUAAAGGAAAUUAAAACUCUGAGAUUUAUGUUCCAGAUGGAAUAGGCUAUGUUGAGAAACAGGAAUCUGGAAAAGGAUUGAGGGUUUGAAUGGAUAGUUGGCUGAAUGUCAUCUCUUGCUCCAGUGCUGUGGCCAAAGGGGCUAAAACAAUCCUUGGAGCCUUUCUGACACCUACUUGAUAUUCCCAGCUUAUAUACCCAGGGAUCACUUUACUGCUGUGUUUGGCAUUGGUGCAAAUGUUUUGGGAAUGCUCCAUCCAGCUGUGGUACCCGCAAUUAAAAAAGGAUGUUGAAAAACUGGAGAUCUUUCAGAGAAGAGCCACAAGAAUGACUGAAGGAUUGGAAAACACGCCUUACAGUGGAGCCCAUCUCAUCUUACCAAACAGCAAGUUAAGAAAAGCUCAAGUCUGAUUCACAAGUGAGCUAUAUAAGGAAGAGAAAUUCAGAAACAGAAGCUCCUUUGGGCAAUAGUAUAAUAAGAAUCAGUAGUCAGAAGUUGGAUGAGUUCAUACUGUAUAUGUCUUCAACUUUUAACAGCGGAAACCAUUCUUGGAGCACAAGUCAGGACUGUGAUUUAUUCUGUCAUUGGCAAGUAGAGAUUGGAUGCUUUUUCCAUCAGUUACAUUCUGGUUCAUGUGGGUAUUGAUUCAGAGCAGCCUUGUUGCUGGCAUCCUUUCAGAAGUCAAACCUAGCUGACCCUGGCUGUCCUCUCUGGCUUUGUUAAUUUAUAAAUCGGAGUUCUCACUCCAAAUUGUUAAUAAUCUAGAUAACUAAAAUCCUCCAGAUCCAAAUUCUGCUGUCUGAUCUGGAUCCUUAACUCCAUUCUCCAGCUUUACUGUAGGAUUGGAUAGGAAAAGCAAGGAUUUGUGGAAGUAUUUGUAUGUGAGAUUUUGUUUGAUUGGAUGAAAAGCUUCAGGGACUAGAUGUUAAUUUUAAAACCAUUUCUCCAUAUUUCCAAUUCCCGUAUCAGCACAUAGCCUUUGGCAGUGGGCUGGUCAGGAGGUUUUGAAUGAACUGUUAGAGUCGGGCUGCUUUUCUCAAAGGCUUGAAGUCAUAGUCUGGCAGAAGGAUCCACCAACAUUUGUGAAACAGACCAGGGAGAGCAGGGAAGAGAAGAACCAUGAGUCUGGUGCCAGGUCCUACCCCUGAUGUUCCCUCUAACAAAGCCUGAACUUGGGUUUUCACUACCACGCUGCCUGUGCAAGUGACCUGUGGCCUUGACCAUUAUUCUGCCUUCCUCUCUAAGGAGAGGUUUUCUCCUGGGCAGCAAAGGAGUACAUUAGCAAUGUCGAUGUCUGCCUUUCUGCUGCCCUCACUGUGCAUGCCCUGAGAGAAGGAAAUCUGCCUGAAAUCUUCCUCAGCCCUUAAAAACAGAAAUGGGCAUGGUACAUCUCACUGCUCACUGGGUUGGCAUUGAAUCCAAAUAUUCUUUGAAUGUGAUCAGACCUCAAGUUUGGAGGAUGUCUAAGCCUUGGAUUUGGGUUCUUCCCAUUUUCAAAACACUACUUUCUGGUCUGCUUCUCUAGGACUGCUUAAAAGUCUUCAAAUCAAAGAAGAACUGUGGCUUUCCCCCUUCUUUACUGGGUUGCUUUGAUUUCUGAGCCCUGAGUUUAACAAAGAAAGGCCACUUUGCUUCCUUCUACAGAAAGGUAUCACUGCUAGGUUGAUAAGAAGCAAGGUAAGUUUGUUGAAGCCUUGAUCUGAAAUGUUUUAUUUCAAGGUUUUUUCUUUACUUUUAUGUCAGUAUGCUUUCUCCAGAAGCUACUUCAUAAGCCCCAGGCUCUGCUAUGUUUGAAGCUGACUUUGUACUCCUAGUUUUCCCUCUUUUUAUUGGACAUUAUUUUUUGAUAUUUUGGAUAUUAUCUCCUUUUCUCCACCCACAACAAGGGCUCAGCACUUGGCUGUGCUGGUUGUGGUCCUGCACCAGACACUCCAUGCUGACACCUAGACAGGGCUCUUGGCCUUUUUUGGGAAUCAGGACUAGUGUGGUUACUCAAUUGCCUGUGCAAACCUGGGCUUUUGAAAUCUCACCCCCAAGGGAACUUUAAAGGAUAAUCCUUGUUAAUGUUUUUCUCUUUAAAUCCCCAAUAUAGUAUAAUUUCUAUGAAUGAUUAAGGAGGGAAUACACUGCUUUUUGAGGCAGCAAGCAGCCUUUUCAUCACAGAGGUCACACCUGUGUCUGUUUUGGGAAGGAUUUGUACAACAGCCAUGGUGAGCUUUCAUUGCUGGUUCUCUGGUCAGUGUUGUAUUUCACUCUCGGAGCACAUUUUUUCAUGUGAUUUUCGUCCUUAAUGUAUGUAAGUAUUGGUCAGCUGUAAAAGCUUCAUCUCUUCUUCAUAGAAAUUAGUCCCAACCAGGACCCCAGACUGAUGGGGAAACUGUUCAGGGCAGAUACUGUGUCAAAGUUUCGGAGCGGUUCACCUGUGAACUUGGUGUUUGCAGUUUCUGUGCUUGCGCUAGCUGCUCUAACCCACUGUCAGCUGUCUGUGCUGUUGCUACAACAGCAUUGUAAGAGCGUUUGCUCUUGGGCUGCGAAAACGGGGCUGUACACCAAAUUAUCCAUGUCAUCUUCCCAGUUCUUUCUGUUUUGAAAUCUAUUUCCAAGUCAAAACCCAGGAGCUUUGUAAUACAGUAAGGAAAUGUUAUUUACCAACCGAAGUGCUAUAUGAAUGUGGUAAAUAGAGAAGCAGUUCCCUAGUUCAUCUGAAGGCAGAUUUACUGUGUAAAUCAUAAUAAUUAUUUUAGUUAUUGGCAGUUUAUAAAUAUUCAAGGUAUAUUGUAUCAUGAUUACAUUUAAUACAUCUGUGAAUCAACAGUACAAAUAUAAUUAAUGGUAUCUUUUAAAGCAUCUCCUGUUCUUUAAGGAAGUGCCUAUGGUUUGUAUCAUAUGGAAAACCCUAGAACAACACAAACGAUUAAACUGGAAAGAGAUUUUCCCUUCUCCAAUGUACUGUCAAUAUUGUGUCUCCUUAGUCAAGGAAAAGAUUGCUGAUUAAAUCAAAGCAAAAAAUAAUAUUGUGCUAAAUCUUACAAGACAAAUGUCCUUUCUGGAGGUAUUCUGGAAGAGCAUUUCACCUGGAACAAAAAAUUAGGUGGGGAAGAAUAAAUAAAUUUUCUAUUUUCUGGAUGUUUUUUUGUAAGAUAGACAUAUUGUAUCAUUAUAUUGAAGAAGGCCUUGUUUUUAUAAGGAACAGAGUUCUGUGUUAACUUGGGAUUUCCGGGCUUUCAAAAGCCAUUAUCUUCCGUACUUUUAUUUCUCUAGGUUUCCAGAAAAAAACAGAUGAAUGACUGUGCUUGUUUCUUGGGAUAAUGUGUCUUUGAGAAACCUUAUAUUCUCCCUCAAAAGAGGCCCUGCACAGUGAAUUUUACCUCUUCACCCACACUCUCUUUGCUGAUAAGCCUUCCAGCUCCAAGCUGUUCUGUUUGUGUUCAGAGAGCAAAGAGUGAAUCACCAUCCUAAUUAAGGUCAGCGUGCUAUAUCUUUGCUAUUUUUCCAGCUAUUCUUGGCUGGUGAAUAAAGAGUUAAAAAUAGGACAUAGACUCUCUUCCUUAGUCUUUGGUGAUUAUCCACGCUAUAAGAAGGUACUAAACAUUCCCAGCAGUAGUGUGUUUUGAUUAAUAUUCACAUGUCCAUCCAGGUUUUUCUUUAAAAGUCUGAAUAAGUUGAAUGCCGACCACAAAAUAAAUUGAAUUGUCAUGUUUGCCCAAGGCAUCAUUAGGAAUAGAAGGGAAGUUAGACCAUUGGCCACACUGGCAUUUUUUUUAGAAUAAUUCUAGGACUUAGUAGGUCUUCACAUUUGUAGUGCCCCUCAAUUUGUUGGUUUGAGUCUAAAAUACAUUGAUAGAAAUAUCUUUAAUCAAACUAAUUUAUUAGACUCUAGUUGGAACAGCAGUUAAAAGUCCAGGUCAGGAACUUAAAAGUUAAAAAAAAAGUCAAAACAAGGACAGAGGAAAGAGGGAAGUGGAUUCUACAUCAUUACAGCAUUUUCUCCCAGUAACUUGUAUGAGUUUCAUUGCAGGCCCCAAGGCAAAGAAUUUUCUACUUGGGCUGCAGGAGGGAGUGUUGAAUUGUUGGGAGAGGCAGGAUGAGAAAGCAGCUAUGCCGCUUAGGUGGUUUUUCUUACAAAAGCAUCAUUGGCAAACUAGCACAAUAAUUUAGCAAAAGAAAAAAAAUCUUGCCCAGGAAGGAGAAUUUUGCUGACAAGGUGUUAAGAGAAGAAAUGUCUGCUUUUAUUUCGUUCUGUUCUCUAAAGGGAUUUAGCAUUUUGCUGUGUAGCUCUUUCGUACCAAACUAGCUUUCAAAGUAAACCCAUGUCCUCUGCCAACAUACUUUUUAAAGGUGCAACACAGCUCUAUUUUCAGAUCUCUAUCUUGUUUGAAAUAUGUCAAAUUUGUUGGUUUUUUCCUGGCUUAAAGUGAGAGGCUGGGCUUUGGAGUCUGUAAAAAUAGUAGUGUCAUGGUUGAACCUAGAGGAGUCAACCAUGGACAGAAGUUGCUAACACUAGGUUGUGUGUGGCUUCCCCCAGGAUCAGAAGAGAGAUCUCAUAGGGUUUCCUUGAUACUGCUUAGAGGCUGAUCUCUGUACUCAUCCCUCCGUGCCAGAAGCACACUCAGUAGGCAGCACAGUGAGUGUGUGAUCUCCCUGAUAGUGCUCCAAUGGGAUUGUUGACAUCAGAUUUUUAAGGCAUAUUAUGCUGGUGCUAAAAAAUAGUAUUAUCGGAUUACCAAAGUGCUUGGAUUCAGUUUGGUAGUGUAGCCUUUCAGUAGGUUUGGAAUGGGAAUAGAAAAGAAUAAAAGAGUUUUGGUCUGUCUCUCCUGAAUUGUCUGUCACCAUUCAGAGACUGCCCUGUAGAUGCGAGCAUCUCUCUCACAGGGCAGGAGAAGGGUGGUUUUUUUUGUGUUCAGCUUGUACUUGAAUCCACACUAAGUAGAGGUGCCUCACAAGAUGAUAUAAGCAGUAUAGUUUAUGACUUGAAUGCAAAAUCUGUAUUAGUUUCAACCUGCUUCUGGUAACACGUCUCUAAUGCUAAAUUACCUCUUUUAUGUGGUUUGUGUAUUACGCACUAACCUCAGAUUGCUUUCAUGUGUUCAACUUUCAGGAGUUCAAGAGUUUUGCAGGAAGAGCAGUAAAAUGUGUUUUUGUCAAUCUCUCUACUUUUUGGGCCAAGCUGUGUUUCUAAUGGGCAAUUUGACCAGCAAUGACUGCCUGGAAGAGCAGGCGUAAGCAACUUGCAUGGCGCAGGCAUGUGCGAGGGAGGUGACUACCAGGGAAACCUAUUUCUGAUGAACUGUAAUGGCAUAGGUCAAAGGCUAGAACAACCCAGUGGCAAGCAGACCAGGAUGCUACUCUGAAGUAGCAUUACAGAGUCCUUAUUUUCUUAAGCAACUGUGCUUAUAGAGAUGUAGGUGUGGGCAUAGAAAUUAUAGCCGUACUAAUGAUUUGUGCUGAGAGUCGGUGUGCUACAUUAGGGGACUGGACUCACAGUUCUAGGGUCUCUUUUCACAUCUUGCUGAGCUGCCUGAGCCUGAAUCAGAUAUUAAAAAUAAACCCAGUGUUUUCUAAAGUGGUUUUAGAUGCCUUGGGAAAUGUUUUGGAUGAGUAAGCCCAUGGCUGGUUAUUGAGAUAAGGUUGGUACCAGCAUGGCAAUUGUCACAGAGACUUUGUGCUUGUCAUGGUGCCAUGUGGAUUUCCUAAAUUUUCUCCACAAUCCCUUACUCUACCUGGGCCCACAGUGGUCCUCCAGAAACUGCCCAUGUGAAGGAUGAAGUGAGCAGUUACAGAGGGUUGUAUUAACACACAUGGUGAGGCAGAAGCAAGGAGGUUGGCUUAUGGCGGGGCAGCACAGUGGUUACAGCAAGGCUAGAGGAGAGCAGUGGAGGCACGCCAGCAUGCUGGGGCUGCAUGCCGGGGACCAUCCUCCCGUGCUGCCCAUGGCCAAGGGCUGUCACAGUGGUGGAUGCCACAGUGUGGGCUGGCAGAAAGCGUGUUCCUCAUGGCCUGUCUCCCUCUCCUCUGCACAGGGAUCCAAGGAGAAAGGCAGUGGGAAGCCCCAAACCUCCCCACUUGCAGCACCUGCUUUGCUCCCCCAUGCCAUGAGCCCUCCCUGAAGGAAGAGGUGAGGCCACUCCUUCUGUCUCUUCCUGAGUGGGAUGAUCUGAGCAUGAGUCACUUGUGGCACAAUAUGGACCCUGUUUCUUCGGAAACGGUGCCCAACUAGCAGCUGCAUGGCUCAGCACAUCUCUGACGCAGCUCUUGGAAUAGGGCAGGGCACCUUCCUCACUGAAGCAUUCAAGGGCAAGGCUUGAGCAUGCUCUAAUUUUGCAAAUGGCUCUUGUCCGACAGCAGGAUGCAAGGAGCGAAAGAGGGUGGGGAUUCUGAGGAUCCAUUUCCCUCAGUCUUGGUGUCCACUUAGUGCCCCAAAAAUGUUUGUUUCUGAGCCUGCAGGAAAAGUGUCAGGAGCAGAGACCUCUCUACUAGAGGUAUUGGCUAAAACACAAUCUUUGUUUGUUGGUCAAUGAUGUCUUAGUAGGGUUUCAACAGCUGAGGAUUAUUCCUAAAAUCUCUGCUUAAGCCCCAGCCUUUUUGCUGUGGGAAGCUGCCUUGCUCCUGCUUGAGUCUUCCUCUCUGGUCUUAACUUUUAAUGUAUCUCAUAAGAUUCUCAAAUAUCUCCUAGACCAACACCUUCCUUUCCUCCCACAGGCCUACCCCUCCCUCAGGUCAUUGGAAAACACUGCCCCAAAGCCAUUUGCUAGGCUGAGUGACAUGCUGGGCAGUUAAUGAACCAGCACAGCUGUGUCAAAGCAUCUCAGCAAUGAAUACUGGCUAAAAUAGAAGCCACAGGCGGGAAACAUGCAAACCCUUCCUCUGCCAGAGAUGAAAUCCAUGGAAUGCUGGGCCAGAUUGCUGGCUUUUCACACCUCUCACUUAUUAAAUCCUAGUCUGUAGUUCACUUGUCCACUCCAUCCAAGUUGGCGACUUCUUUAAAAGCUUUAUGGAGGCAUUUCCAUUGGGGCAUGGUCCAGUAACAACAGAAACCUUCAUGCAUCACCUUUAAGGCAGACACAUGUAAUUAGGCUGGUUUUUGGAAGGUUUGUUUGCUACAGGCAAAUGGCCCAUCGCAGAAAUUUAAUGGCCAGCUUGUCCAGUUUUUAACCUCACAAAGAUUUUGUUACAGUUAAUCCUUUCCUGAUGGUCCCUGCACCCUCUUCCAAGUAACUGAAAUGAUACAGCUUAAGUCUAUUUAAAAGGAGGGGUGGAGUACUUGUCCCAUUCAUUCCAGCAAAGAAGUAAACCGAGGCCAGGCAAAAGGUUUCAAGUAAGAUUGGGUGAUACUCAAAAUAUGAAGAUAUUUGGUUUGUUUAACAAUCCAAAUGUGGCAAGGGGAAGAAAGUUGUCUAGGUUUCAAUCAACUUAACAUUUGGGCAACACGGCAUGCAGAAGUGAGAGUAGUAGUUACUAUGUAGCCAGUUCUCAUAAUUUUAUCCCGAAUUUCACAAUGUGAUGCUUUUGGAAAAAAUAACCUGUUAUUAUCUAAGAAAUUCAAUUCUCAUUUAAAAAACCAAACCAAAACAAAACCAAAACCACCCCACAUCCAAAAUGUGUUGCUAGCUCUUACACUUAUGUAGAAUGUGACCCAAGUACACCCCAAAACAAAACGUCUCACCAAACCUUACGGUUUCUGAGUCAAGCCCUGUACACUCAUGUUCCAUUUUGCGUUUGAUUUUUUUUGUUGUUGGCAUUUCUGCAGUUGUAAGUCAAUGAAUGCCCUGAAGCAAAGAUUUGAUCAUUCUUGCCUGAGCUUGCCCUGCAAAAGGCUAUCAGUAAUAAAUAUUAUCCCAAGUGACUGUGGUGUAAGUAAUUGCAUUCCUUACCCAAAGAUCACAAAAAAAAAAAAUGGGAAAGAACUGUUGUGAAGAAGGGUGCGAAUGAUUCUUGUUUCUGCUGUUAAUGUCAAAUACAGCUCACCUGUGCACCAAGAACCAUACUGACCCAGAAGGAUCUGAACAGUCUUUAGUUCCUGAUCUUUGCCUCUGUUUUGCUGGUGAAGCCCAUGUUUGCUGCUGUGCUCAAACCACCUUCUUCUUCCUUUCCUAUAAGCAAGUAUUGAAAUAGCAGCACUUUCCCAAGGGGCAGCACACAGUGCCUUCCCAUCAUUUAGUGUGGCAGCUCAGGCCAGCUGUGCACAGCAGAAACUCCAAGCUCACUCUUCCAUAAGCAAGGACUGAUACCUUGGGCCUGCAGCCACCAAUAUGGAGAGGCACAGACGAUGCCAGAGCCUGUAUUCCUCUUGGACCCAGGCUUCCAUCAGCACCAUCACUGCAGCGUUGAACUGGAGAGUCUGCCACACAGAUGACUGUAAAGUAAUCCCAGGCACCCCUUCCCUCACUAACCAAGAAAAGGUGAGUGUCACUGGUGAUCCCAUGAGGAAAGAAUGAAUCUCCUCUUUCAGUACACUUGUUUCUUUCUUCUUUUGUUUUCAAAUAUAGAGUGUGGGAGGACUUGGAAAUACACUAGUUCAUCUGUAUUUUUAACUAAGUGUGUUGCGUUUUAGGCUUCCCUGUAAAAUAUAAUGAUAUAUUUCUUUAGUAAUAAUUACAGUGGGAAAAAAGCUUAAUCCAAGUUGCAUAAGACUAGCUUUGUCCAGGCAUAUGUUUUUGUAAGAGUUUAACCAUUGAUUAUCUAGGAAAGACCACAAGCUUUUGUUUAGUGAUAAGAAGGGGUACAAAAAAAAAUUAAAGGAAACCCAAACCAUAAAUCCCUCUCUGAAGGCUGUUUUGUUCCACCACAGCACACUGGUGAUUCUCACUAGAAUCAGUGUGUGGGUCUCUUAUCUUGUGGUGGGAAGAUAGAUAGUCGUUGGGAAAGCAGUAAGCUGCCUGAGUCUUUGAGUGAAGCGAUGGAAAACAUGGAGUCUGAUUUUCUGAAUCUCUGUCCAUAAUCUAUCCUUAAAUGUUCCCAUAGUUCCAAACAGUUUGAAUUUCUUUAAUUGUAUGAUGGAUUUACAGUUCAACAUUUCAGAUAAAAUUACCCCUAUUAUUGAAAACAAAGGAGACACGUGCCAGUCUGAAAGAGUAAAGGCAUAGCCUCAAGGAAAGGGAUUAGUUCAUCUUGUCUCUUCCCCUCAUACAUGCACAAGCAGAUAUUUCUGUACAAAUCCGUGUCUACCAACUUGUCAGUACAUUCAUUGUCCCUUGACUUCCAGGGCUGCCCUUUCUUCGUGUCUCUGGGAAGGUUCCUAGCGGUUGAAAAGUCCUUUGAUUAAGUUAAUGGUCAUCAUCAUACACCCAUUUACUAAAAGAGAUGCAGCCACUUGAACUUUGAUGGCUAGAGCAAAAUAAGCUGUUUAACAGUGCUUUCCAAGGUCUGGAGAACUGGCAACCUACAGGCCAUCAGACAAAAACACUAAGUGAAAUCACUGUAUCUGGUUCAUAGAGAGUGGAGUUUUUCAUAUGAAUGCCCACUGUGUGAGGCAGUAAAUCUCAUUAAUUAGAUCCUCUCUUUGGAGUCCUUGUUGUAUUUGGCCAGGCAACUUGUCUGCAGGAUCUUCCAGACCUCAUUUGUUCUCUCACUCAAGGUAUCUCCAGAGUUCUUAUUGGGACCUGUCUUCUCAAGGAUUUUACUGAAAAUGGAAGCAGGACUGGACUCUAGGUAUCUGUUUGCAUUUAGACCAUUCACUUACCACUAUUCACUCAUAAGCUACAUGAGACCACUCCCAAAGACAAGUGUGAUGAUUAUUUCCCAUCUCUACAAUUAGGGUUGGAUGAUGAGUAGUAAAAAUCACCAAUGACAACAACAAAAAAAAGAGAUAUUAUGGUAUCUUCAAAAUGUUUUAGGUACAGACUUUAGGCUUUCUUAACUCCUUUUAAGUUAAGUGGUGCUGGUACAACUGAGAGGUAUUGUGACAAAGGGCAGUGAGGUGUGUGUGUGUAUAUGUAUGUAGACACAUAGUCAGCUUUCAAGAAUGACGCUGGAGAAUUAGACACAUUAUAGCAGGGUGGUGUCAUUUUUCAUAUCAGCCUCAUUCAUCUCUCUGCACCUCGUGCCAGGAAUAAAAGGUGGUGAUAAUUUUCAGUGGCACACAAGCAGCUACCUGAUGGUCCUGUUGUGUACACACCCACGGAUGUUGCUCUGGAGACUGUGGAGCAGUGAGGGUGGUAUGCCUGUUUGCAUCUGGAUGUUGAGGGUUGCCUGGAGAAGCCCAUCCAUCAGGUAGGUUAAUUGGGAGCUUCAUCAACGCCUGUCCCCCUCACUGCACCAUCCCUUGUUGUCUCUGCAGACCUCCAAGGGGAGAGGACUGGAGUUGCCAAAACACCCCAGGAACAGAAGAGAGCUGGGGUUUGGGCACUAAUUUUUUCAUGCAGCCCACGCAUGACUCUGCAAGUUGGCCAGGAGUGACCACACUAAAUCCUCAUGGAGGUUUAGACGUCCUUUCCCUGUUUGUAGAACUCUGCCCUGCUUACUGAGGUGGUGUCAGAUGGUCUUCUUGGCACAGCAUGUGGUUUUUCAAGGGGGAUUCAUUCCACUGAGUGUGGACAAGGCAACACCUACACCUGAACUGUCUAGACACCUAGCAGAGAGUGAAAGGUGUGUCCAGUGGCUGAGUCACCUUAACCUGAUGUCCCAAACAAGCCUGGCUAAUUUUCCCUGAAAAUAUGCCUAUUUUUCUCCAGCAGUUAUGGCAUGAGCACAGAGCGCUCAGGUCAGAUGGAGAUACCUGCAUUGUAAGGCAAGAUGAACCCCUCUCCCUGUUCUCGUAUUGACUGUGGCCAUGUAAGCAAUAACAGAUGAGAAAACUAAUUUGUUCUACCCUUGUCCAUGCCUUUCAGGUCUUCUGCUGUCUCUGGAGGUGAGAAAGGAACAGCCAGCUAUUAGCUAGUGCCCUAUCUUGAAUUUUUUAAUCUCCUUCUUUGCCUUACAAUGAACUGGACACUGAAGAUGUGCCUCAACGGUUAGUGCAACCAGCUGGGCACAGUGCUGAGCAAUGAUUGUCUUUUCUCUUCAUUGGAUAUCAGACACUACUGAGAGCUACCAUCAGUUACACACAAAGUCCCCAAAUCUCUUGGUAACUCCUUUGCCCAAGCAUGAGACCCUGCAACAACUUAUUGUGCUGGGGUGUUGUUGGGCCCCAUGAUGAAGGAAAGCCCACAGAAUCAGGAAUCAGUCACAGGGGGGAGAUUUUUAAGUGUAUGGCCAGGGGCUUGUGAGCUGUUCUCCAGCUCUGUGCCACUUCCAUACUAUGGUGACAGACACAGGCAUUCAGCAGAGGUUCUACCAGCCAGUCUGUCCAAGCAGUGGUGCAUAGACCAGGGAAUGGAUGCAAGAAGUCAUCAGGGGUGAAGAGCUGGCUUCAGUGAGUAUGGUUGCACAUGUAUGAAACCUCUUCACUACCUGUGAUGUUAAGCUGUUUUCUGAUUUUCUCUUAAUUAUGUUGUGCACUUUCUGGCCAUCAUGCUUGUAUAAAGCAUAAGCCUUUAGGGCAUAACUUUGUUUCCUUUGACACUCCUAACUCAUUCCUGCAAGCUUACGUUUGUUGUUGUUGCUGUUGUUGUUGAGUAACCAGUAAUAAAUAAUUGUUUGGUCAAAGCUCUUAAAAUGCGUAGCUGAACCUCAAAACUUAUCUGAGUUGUCUGUAUCAUGAGUAACAUUGCUCCUGAUUUACAGUUAGGGGAAGCAUAGUGCAGACAUGGCAUCUGAAAGCGAGACAGAAAAUACAAAUUUGUGCUGUAUUCUGUUUAGGGGGAUGACACAUCCUCUACCAUAAAUCCUGCACACCUGGAUGUAGACAAACAAAGAAAGGCCUGAACAAACUAAAAGAAAAUACCUCCUUCAUCUAGAAACUGUGUUUAGGAAAGGAGAUUUUUGCUUCGUGCCUCUUGUUUCAGGUUAGAGUUGAAAAAGUAUCUUCAUUCUAGAGAUACGGGUUUCCUGUAAAUGGCAGAACAAACAAUAUUGCAGGGAAAAAACACCAGCCCUUGAAUUCCAAAAAUACCAUCUCCUUUCAAAGUAAGAUUUAUAUGCAGGAAGACAAUCUCUCUUACAGAGUUUUCCCUGUCACUCGGAGUCCACUCAAUGGAAACAAGCACACAAUUUAAAAAGAUAUUGGAAGAACAGCUUGGACACAGAGAAAGGAAUGACUUGGAGUCUUAAAAAACAGACAAGCUUUUCAGUAGCUGGGAGCUUGGAACAAGAAGCUGAAAGUCAUGUAAGGCCAGUAAAGAUUAGGGCAUUCUUGUUACCUAAAAAAUAACCAUUCUUGGCUUCUCUCAUUAGUAUCUCUGCUCAGGGAUUAAGUUAACUGUUCUGCAGGGAAGCCAGAUGCAAAUCUGCAGCUGCGGUGGUGAGUUUUCCUUAAUGUGUGAAGGACUGGGAUGAGUGAAGGGUUAGGUUAUUUGAAAGCUGGUGAUCCUGAGCUCUCUUUGUCUGGGAUCCAGACAAACUUUCGUGUUGAGAAACACUGGCCUACUUCUUCAGUGCAAGACAAAUAACAUACCAGUUCCCACCCUAGCGUGACAGUGGAAGUAGUGAGCUAUUCCCAUUUGAUGCUACAAAUGUAGUGGCUUCUGGAGGUGUCUAAGCAGAAGUAGCACAGCUCCUCUCUCUCUCUCUCUCUCUCCUCCCUCUCAUUCCUUGAUUUUAUUAAGACAAUCCUGACUCUUGCAAGAUUUUAGGAGAUGAUGUGGGGGGCUUCUUGCAAGGAAAAGGUUUGGUUUUGCUCUUGGACUGUUUUUUCUGAGGAUUAUGUAUGUCCUGGUUAGAGCUGAGGAUGCCCAUGUCGCAAACCUGUGCACCUCCAGUGUGGAAAGGAGGGGCACCACCAGCUGUAUUCAGGGACACAGCUUCAUCUGCAGGUUGAGUGGAAAGUAUGUGGGAAUGCUUAAUACUAUUUCCUACAACAGAACAAAACCUCACAAUACUGUUCCCCUUCCCGCCCCCCUCCCUCCCAAACAAAAAACCAAACCAAAACAAAACACAAAAAAACCCACAAACGAAAGCAAACAGCAACACACGCCAAAAAAAACAAAACAACCCAAAACCCAAUCAAAUGGGGCAUAGGUGCUUCAUUUAAAAUAAACAAGCCCAAACAACAACAAAAAAUCUCUUUGGAAUAGAGUGAGCACUUGUUUAUCAUGUAAUAUGGCAUCACAGCAAUGCAUGGAAAUGACUUUGCUGCUUUGUGUGCUGGUAAGGGUCAAAGCUGUGCUUUGAGGAGCAUUUUCUUUGAUGUGCCCCUUAGGAGGUUUUAUUCACAAGUGUGUACAUAGACCCCGUAUGUUCUGUUGGUGAAUAUUCCAUUUAAUAAUUGUAUCACAUGUCUAGUUUUCUGUAUGUGAAAAUCAUAGAGGUGCCUAUCAACAGAUAUAAAUGCAGACUAAAGUGCUGUGAUGUGGUAGAAGGGCUCUUAGCCGGAGAUGUGUGGGAAGUGCUCUUUGUUAUGGCUGGUACCAACCUUGACUAACCCAACUGUGAUGAACCCAAGCUGAAGAAACCUUUGUACCACACAGUAUUUUCCAGUUAAUUACAUAUAUUUCUACAUCUGGGUGUGUGUGUGUGUGUGGACAAGUGAGAUCAUCCAUUCCUUUGAGACUUUUUUUUUUUCCUAUCCAGAAUAUUUUUCCUCCCCCUAGCUCCUUUCCAGGAGGUCAACAACAAUAAUAGAGCCAAAAGCCUUCGCUCUCAUCUGGUGUCCGCAGUCCAUUGUCUGCUCUGGGGUGUGGGCUCUGGGUGCUCCACUGGUGUCAACUCCAAGGACUGAUCCAGCUUGAGUCUGCUGCGUUUCCAAGCACAGAUAACACGGGAUGUAUUCAGGCCAGCAUGGCUGCUGCCCGAGUUCUUGCCAAAAGCAGGAAAUGGGAACAAGGAAAACUAAUGUUUUUAGGCUUUUUUUUUUCUUUGUAUGUGUCUGAAUAUGAGAGAAACACAAAAAAGAAAAACUCUAGGUUUUGAGCCAUAUGGCAUCCCUUAGUGGUGUGCAUUCAAGGAUCUAGCUCACCUUUAAUUCAAACAGACUUGUUCUAUAGUUGCGUUUGAAAAAUUCUAUUUUAGUACUUGCUUAGAAGUUUUGGAGUUAGUUUUGGUUGCUUUUUAUAGAGAUGGGUUGGCUUGUGUAGGUUUGUUUGGUUUUUUUUUAAUGGCAUUAUGAUUUUUUUUUUCCUUCCUGUAUGUUCUUGGAUCAGAAGGUUCACUGAGAUGCCAAACUAUAGCUGGCUACAGCUUCGGUACAUCUUGUAACAAUGCAGGCCAUGACAUGCCAGAGUGAUGGAGCGUGGCAUGUACAGUCCCAGAAAGAUGUGACAGAUUAACACUGCUGAUAAUGUUUGCCGCUCCGGAUCUUCUACUAAAAUCCCCUUCUUCCAGGUAGUUUAACUCUUGAGACACUGAUACAGUGAGUACCUGAAGAAGACAGAUGCCUACAGACAAUCACAGCAGUGGUGGGCAGUUGGAUUAUUUUGUGCAACUCCAUCAGAACAAUAUUUCUUCAUUGUAGAGGUGGGCAACAGUAGAAACGUGGGUCACUCUUACUAGCAAAGGAACCAUAAUUUCUGUGUAAUUUCAGGCAGUGUGGUGGCUAGAAUCUGCAUCUUGCCCCCUGCUUCCUUGAGGAGAAUGAGGAAUGCUGAGCAGCACCCACCACAACAUAUUCCUGUGUGGCAUCAGGUGUGACAGCUCCAGAACACAUCCCUCUUCCCUUUGUCAGAAAGGUCAUGUUGGGAGGGGAAGGGUUGUAGGAGUGUGAGGAAGAAAAUAAUUGAUGUGGGGAAAAAGCCCCACGUUUUCUUUUUAUUCCCAUUCAACUUCUUGCACUUUCUCCAACUAAAAAGCACAAAGUGGUGUGCAAAGUCUGCCAAAUUUCUGUAGCAUAAGCCAGGCUUUGCAAAGAUACUGUAGUUCUGUCUUGUUUUUUUGGUAUAUAAGCAAGUUAUAUUUAUAGUUUUGCUUUGGGUAAGGUGCUCACGAACCAGUGGGAGUCCUACAGCCCUGAUUUUAAAUGAUUUAUCAGGAGCACACUAUACAACAACUACAUGUAGAAAUUCUGGUCUUAUUAAAGUCGUAAGUGGAACUCAAUGAAUUUUGCUUGAUGGGAUCUAGACAUAGAAAUAAAGGGCAGAUCACCAGAAGCAGUCUGAUUUCAAAUAGUUGUGUUUUUCUGGAAAAGAGAGGGAAGAGGGAAAGCUUGGUAGUUUAUCAUUUUUCCCUACUUCUUCAAUAGAGCUACUGGUAUAGGGAAGUUAGAGCCCUGUUUAUUAUUUGCAAGCAUUUAUAAAUGUACAUAUUCUAAUGAAACAGAAUGCCCACAUUAGGUUCUAGGUCUUUCCAUUUAGCUUCUUGAUUAUCUAAUUGUGUCCAUUUCCAUGGUGUACUGGCUGCUACACAUAGUCCAUCCAUCCUUGCAUCUGUGCUGGAGAGGUCAGUUAUUAUACUAAAUAACUUAUACUAAAAGGUCAGUUAUUGCAUAGACCUAUUGCACUGUAUCUGUUCUGCUGUACCCAGCCAUGUGCAUGCCCUCGGCCAGCAGCGCUCAAUGGAAGCCUGUGCCAUGCUCAGCAAGGACUCAGCUGCCUCCUCUGGUCCUGGGAGAAGAGCUGGCAAAUGGGAAGUUACCUUAUUGUAAGUGUAUUGUAAGCUUUAAAAUUACACCCUAGCUUACCUUGCGGUAACUUGCUCGUGUAGUCAUGGCCUUAGGGUUUUUCUUUAGUAUCCAUGGCCACAACAUCUAAGCAUUUUAUGGUACAGCACACACUAAACAUUAAUUUCAAAUUAUUGAGAACGUUUUUCAUGACUCAACAUCUUUCUAAUAACUGUGUACCUUAUUAAAGUCUUGCAGCCCUUUAAUAACAAAGUUUUCCCUGAUCCCUUGGCAUUUAAACACCCUGUAUAACUGAAAUGAAAUGCAUAGCUGAAGUGUUUUUUUAGGACACUCAUUUUAAAGUGAGCCCAAAGCAGCAAAGGACUCUUUGAACAUCUCUAGAGUGGACGCUCCCAGAGCUGUCUGUAUACAGUUUGAAUUAAUUAUUCCCUUCAUGGAAGUUGUACAAGAUGUCCCCCAGGCUCUUUUUGACUGCCUUGCUGCCCUUUUGUGAUAAUCCCUUGCUAUCCUCUGGGCUUUCUGUGGUCCUAAACUUAACAUAUAAAGCUAUUUUUAUCUAGGGGCUAGGGUGUGAAUAAAUGCAGAGAAUGUCUCUCAACAUGACUUAGUGCUUGUAAGCCUUUCUUCAACUUGAUUAGGAAUGCUCAGACCUUACUGCAAGUUGCCUUGGUGCAUCCUCCAGUGAUAUAGCUGCAGUUAAGAAGGAUUUCUUCUCCCAUGGGUCACACAAGGCAGAAAUCAGCCAGGAGCAAAAGGGAAGCUUGGAGGCAAACUGGAGGCUUAGGAGGUGGAGCCCCUGGUCUCUCUUCUGUGUACCACUGCCACAAGAAAUGACCUUGGACAAAUCUCCUUGCCACCCUUGGGUAACAUAGGUGUGACACAGGCAUUCUCCUGCAGCUAUGCCAGGCCUGCACUGUAUGGCUUUGCUGGGCUCAGCUCAACUCAUUUAGCUUAGGUUUUCAACAGCACCUUAGGGAGAUGGGUUCUCAACCCUCCAUUAAUUUUAAUUGGCAUCAUAGAUACCUCUAGGGUUCUUGAAAA